ensembl:rRNA 5S_rRNA 5S ribosomal RNA
GUCUACAGACAUACCACCCUAAAUGCAACAAUCUUGUCUGAUCUCAGAAGCUAAGCAGGGUCAGGCCUUGUUGGGACUUGGAUGGGAGAAACUAACACAUUAGUAAAUA